rnacentral:rRNA from 1 species
CAUGCAAGUCGAGCGGUAACAGAAAGUAGCUUGCUACUUUGCUGACGAGCGGCGGACGGGUGAGUAAUGCUUGGGAACAUGCCUUGAGGUGGGGGACAACAGUUGGAAACGACUGCUAAUACCGCAUAAUGUCUACGGACCAAAGGGGGCUUCGGCUCUCGCCUUUAGAUUGGCCCAAGUGGGAUUAGCUAGUUGGUGAGGUAAUGGCUCACCAAGGCGACGAUCCCUAGCUGGUUUGAGAGGAUGAUCAGCCACACUGGGACUGAGACACGGCCCAGACUCCUACGGGAGGCAGCAGUGGGGAAUAUUGCACAAUGGGCGCAAGCCUGAUGCAGCCAUGCCGCGUGUGUGAAGAAGGCCUUCGGGUUGUAAAGCACUUUCAGUCAGGAGGAAAGGUUAACGGUUAAUACCCGUUAGCUGUGACGUUACUGACAGAAGAAGCACCGGCUAACUCCGUGCCAGCAGCCGCGGUAAUACGGAGGGUGCGAGCGUUAAUCGGAAUUACUGGGCGUAAAGCGUACGCAGGCGGUUUGUUAAGCGAGAUGUGAAAGCCCCGGGCUCAACCUGGGAACUGCAUUUCGAACUGGCAAACUAGAGUGUGAUAGAGGGUGGUAGAAUUUCAGGUGUAGCGGUGAAAUGCGUAGAGAUCUGAAGGAAUACCGAUGGCGAAGGCAGCCACCUGGGUCAACACUGACGCUCAUGUACGAAAGCGUGGGGAGCAAACGGGAUUAGAUACCCCGGUAGUCCACGCCGUAAACGAUGUCUACUAGAAGCUCGGAGCCUCGGUUCUGUUUUUCAAAGCUAACGCAUUAAGUAGACCGCCUGGGGAGUACGGCCGCAAGGUUAAAACUCAAAUGAAUUGACGGGGGCCCGCACAAGCGGUGGAGCAUGUGGUUUAAUUCGAUGCAACGCGAAGAACCUUACCUACACUUGACAUACAGAGAACUUACCAGA